rnacentral:rRNA from 1 species
UACGUAGGGUGCGAGCGUUGUCCGGAAUUAUUGGGCGUAAAGAGCUUGUAGGCGGUUUGUCGCGUCUGCCGUGAAAGCCCAGGGCUUAACCCUGGGUCUGCGGUGGGUACGGGCAGACUAGAGUGUGGUAGGGGAGACUGGAAUUCCUGGUGUAGCGGUGAAAUGCGCAGAUAUCAGGAGGAACACCGAUGGCGAAGGCAGGUCUCUGGGCCACUACUGACGCUGAGAGGCGAAAGCUAGGGGAGCAAAUGGG